rnacentral:rRNA from 1 species
UACGUAGGGUGCAAGCGUUGUCCGGAAUUAUUGGGCGUAAAGAGCUUGUAGGCGGUUUGUCGCGUCUGCUGUGAAAUUUCGGGGCUCAACCCCGAACUUGCAGUGGGUACGGGCAGACUAGAGUGUGGUAGGGGAGACUGGAAUUCCUGGCGUAGCGGUGAAAUGCGCAGAUAUCAGGAGGAACACCGAUGGCGAAGGCAGGUCUCUGGGCCAUAACUGACGCUGAGAAGCGAAAGCAUGGGGAGCGAACAGG